rfam:Dipodomys ordii contig_13791, whole genome shotgun sequence.
GGUGGCUCAGUGGUAGAGUGCUUGCCUUGCAUGCAUGAGGCCCUCGGUUCGAUUCCCCAGCACCA